UGCUGUGUGUCUCUUGUUUAAACUCCCUUAAACUAAGAAGACAAGAACUGAGAUGUCACAGCAACCAUCAACCAAACUACCCAUCCAGUUGGCCCCCAAAGCUGCUGAGCCCUGAGAGAAGCCUCAGGGGAGCACGACGAAGUCUGUCCUGUGAAGACACGAGUCCCUUAGAGAACACGCACACCCGGAAGAUCAGUGGUAACAAGGGAGCAGGUGCUCAGUGAGUCUCUAGGCAAUGACCGCUGCAGCAUCUGGAGGAGAGAGUGAGCCCGGGGUCUGGGCCAGGCUUGGGAGGACUCAGGAGGCAGAGAGAAGAGCCAGGGCACUGGGGCCAGGCUUGGAGACAAGAAGAGCAGGAAGAGCUCGGCAGAAGAGGGCUGCCUAAGAGACACAGGUGGAGGUUGAGCUCCUGGGUUUUUACCCAGAGGAACUGGAAACGUGUCCACACAAAACCUGCGCGUGGAUGUUUACAGCAACUUUGUUCAUACUCACCAAAACUUGGAAGCUGCUGGGAUGUCCUUCAGCAGGUGAAGAGAAGGAGACAAG
rnacentral:lncRNA from 1 species